AGCGAACGCUGGCGGCAGGCUUAACACAUGCAAGUCGAACGGAUCCUUCGGGAUCAGUGGCAGACGGGUGAGUAACACGUGGGAACGUGCCUUUUGGUUCGGAACAACUCAGGGAAACUUGAGCUAAUACCGGAUGUGCCCUUCGGGGGAAAGAUUUAUCGCCAUUAGAGCGGCCCGCGUCUGAUUAGCUAGUUGGUGAGGUAAAGGCUCACCAAGGCUUCGAUCAGUAGCUGGCUGAGAGGAUGAUCAGCCACACUGGGACUGAGACACGGCCCAGACUCCUACGGGAGGCAGCAGUGGGGAAUCUUGCGCAAUGGGCGAAAGCCUGACGCAGCCAUGCCGCGUGAAUGAUGAAGGUCUUAGGAUUGUAAAA
rnacentral:rRNA from 1 species